GAUGAACGCUGGCGGCGUGCCUAAUACAUGCAAGUCGAGCGAACGGACGAGAAGCUUGCUUCUCUGAUGUUAGCGGCGGACUGGUGAGUAACACGUGGAUAACCUACCUAUAAGACUGGGAUAACUUCGGGAAACCGGAGCUAAUACCGGAUGAUAUUUUGAACCGCAUGGUUCAAAAGUGAAAGACGGUCUUGCUGUCACUUAUAGAUGGAUCCGCGCUGCAUUAGCUAGUUGGUAAGGUAACGGCUUACCAAGGCAACGAUGCAUAGCCGACCUGAGAGGGUGAUCGGCCACACUGGAACUGAGACACGGUCCAGACUCCUACGGGAGGCAGCAGUAGGGAAUCUUCCGCAAUGGGCGAAAGCCUGACGGAGCAACGCCGCGUGAGUGAUGAAGGUCUUCGGAUCGUAAAACUCUGUUAUUAGGGAAGAACAUAUGUGUAAGUAACUGUGCACAUCUUGACGGUACCUAAUCAGAAAGCCACGGCUAACUACGUG
rnacentral:rRNA from 1 species